rnacentral:rRNA from 1 species
AGUCGACGGCAGCACGGGGGCAACCCUGGUGGCGAGUGGCGAACGGGUCAGUAAUACAUCGGAACGUGCCCAGUCGUGGGGGAUAACGUAGCGAAAGCUACGCUAAUACCGCAUACGAACUCUGGUUGAAAGCGGGGGAUCGCAAGACCUCGCGCGAUUGGAGCGGCCGAUGGCAGAUUAGGUAGUUGGUGGGGUAAAGGCUCACCAAGCCGACGAUCUGUAGCUGGUCUGAGAGGACGACCAGCCACACUGGGACUGAGACAAGGCCCAGACUCCUACGGGAGGCAGCAGUGGGGAAUUUUGGACAAUGGGCGCAAGCCUGAUCCAGCCAUUCCGCGUGCAGGAUGAAGGCCCUCGGGUUGUAAACUGCUUUUGUACGGAACGAAAAGGCUCUGGUUAAUACCUGGGGCUCAUGACGGUACCGUAAGAAUAAGCACCGGCUAACUACGUGCCAGCAGCCGCGGUAAUACGUAGGGUGCAAGCGUUAAUCGGAAUUACUGGGCGUAAAGCGUGCGCAGGCGGUGAUGUAAGACAGGUGUGAAAUCCCCGGGCUUAACCUGGGAACUGCAUUUGUGACUG